rfam:Schistosoma haematobium scaffold146_5, whole genome shotgun sequence.
AGCUUUUCGAAUCCGUGCUGAGAUUUCGUCAGAUAUCAAUCUAUUAGGGCUCACCAGACUUCCAAGAUAAGUGAAGUU